UGGGGAAUAUUGGACAAUGGGCGGAAGCCUGAUCCAGCAACGCCGCGUGAGGGAUGACGGCCUUCGGUUGUAAACCUCUUUCAGUACCGACGAAGCGUGAGUGACGGUAGGUACAGAAGAAGCACCGGCCAACUACGUGUCAG
rnacentral:rRNA from 1 species